UGGGGAAUUUUGGACAAUGGGCGCAAGCCUGAUCCAGCCAUGCCGCGUGCGGGAAGAAGGCCUUCGGGUUGUAAACCGCUUUUGUCAGGGAAGAAAUCUUCUGAGUUAAUACCUCGGGAGGAUGACGGUACCUGAAGAAUAAGCACCGGCUAACUACGUGCCAGCAGCCGCGGUAAAUACGUAGGGUGCAAGCGUUAAUCGGAAUUACUGGGCGUAAAGCGUGCGCAGGCGGUUUUGUAAGACAGAGGUGAAAUCCCCGGGCUCAACCUGGGAACUGCCUUUGUGACUGCAAGGCUUGAGUGCGGCAGAGGGGGAUGGAAUUCCGCGUGUAGCAGUGAAAUGCGUAGAUAUGCGGAGGAACACCGAUGGCGAAGGCAAUCCCCUGGGCCUGCACUGACGCUCAUGCACGAAAGCGUGGGGAGCAAACAGGAUUAGAUAGCCCUGGUAGUCCACGCCCUAAACGAUGUCAACUGGUUGUUGGGAAGGUUCCUUCUCAGUAACGUAGCUAACGCGUGAANUUGACCGCCUGGGGAGUACGGCCGCAAGGUUGAAA
rnacentral:rRNA from 1 species